UACGUAGGGUGCGAGCGUUGUCCGGAAUUACUGGGCGUAAAGAGCUCGUAGGUGGUUCGUCGCGUCUGCUGUGAAAUUUCGGGGCUCAACCCCGAACUUGCAGUGGGUACGGGCAGACUAGAGUGUGGUAGGGGAGACUGGAAUUCCUGGUGUAGCGGUGAAAUGCGCAGAUAUCAGGAGGAACACCGAUGGCGAAGGCAGGUCUCUGGGCCAUAACUGACGCUGAGAAGCGAAAGCAUGGGGAGCGAACAGG
rnacentral:rRNA from 1 species